UGUGUGUGUUCAUAUCAGUUUGUGUGUCUCUGUGUGUCACUGUGUGUAUUUGUCAGUGUAUCUGAGUUUGUGUAUGUGUGCCAGUAUGUUUAUUUGUGUGUCCCUGUUUGCAUCUGAGGGUGUAUCUUUGUGUCUGUGUUUAUUUGUCUGUCAGUGUUUGUAUCUGAGUGUGUGUGUAUAUGUGCCAGUGUAUGUAUGUCAGCGCAUAUAUUAAUGUGUGUGUAUUUGUGUAUAUAUGUUAUUGUUUAUCUAUAUCUCUGUAAGUAUUUAAGUAUGAAGUAGUGUAUGUGCAUACACCGCAGCAAACAUCAACACAGCAUGCAAACACACCCCUGCAAUCUAACGCAAACAUUACAUACAAACACACCUCUGCACUCAAACUCUAAAAUUAUGUACAAACACACAAUUUAAAAGGCAACACUACAUCAAAAAACAUCAACACACU